UGUUCUCUAGAAUGUUUUAUAAUAUUUUGUAAUUAUAGUAUAAUAUAAUAAUUCCGUAUUUUAAUGUUGUUUAGAAAGAAAAGAUGUUCAUCACACCAAAAGGGAGGAUUAUGCCGGAUUAUCUGUAAUUCAUUAUUCUCUUGGUUAUUUUCUUUUUGAGAUAUCAUUCACAAAAUAAUAAGGAGAAUGAUGGAGGUUGAAGAAAUGUGGUUCGUGAUUCUUGAUCUACGUAGAAGUGCAAAAAGGAGUCAUUAUGAUCAUUUGCGGCGGCUCACGAUCAGAAGUGUCAAUUCAACCGUUUACGUGCGAGAUUUACCGAUUGUGAAUAUCUUCAGGAGUGCUACUCGAACGUGUGUUAAAUUUUUAGAAGUUUAGUACAUUUUUUCUUGUUCUUUCGGGAGUGUUCGAAAAUUUUUUAAAUCCCGUGUGAUCUUCGCAGCUGAUCUUAUCGUCCAAAGAAUCCAACAUCAUCCACAUCAUCGGAUGCAGACUAAGAGUCAUCGAAAAAUGGGAACGUUUCGCAGAUUAUUUUUAGCAGUUAAGGACAUGAAGAGAAAGAGGGAUAUAUUGACAAAGGGCAUAUAUACAAAUGUUGAAAAAAAGAGGAGCGCCUCAGGCGUGAAAAGAGUUGAAUUCAAUAAUCUGGAGCAAUUUUAAUGUCAGGGCAGAAAGUGGAACUCGGAAUUUUGGUCAUAAUUGCGAAAUUUCCCGUCUGAUGAAACAUCGUCCCCGCAAAAAGGGACAAAAGAUUAAAGGAUAUACGUAAAUACUUUAUAAGUAUACACACAUAUAUAUCUGUUAAAGGCUCGCGUGUUCCUCUUGCCAGUGGGUCGAGGUUUCGAGAACGCGAGAGAUUUCGCACAUCCUCCCGUUUUGAAUGGCGCGAAAGUUAUGAAUCCCUUUUCAUCGCUCAUUCAUGGUUCCGGUCUCGAUAUAAAAUUCAAAAAAAAAAAAAAAAAAAUGUAAAAUAGCGGCAAACAUCGCCCACAAAACCGUUUUCCUUUCCCGUUGCGCCUUUUAAUGCCGUUACACACCCUCUUCCUUCCGAAUAAUUUUUUAUUCCCUACAUACGUUAUUUAUUCUUUGUUCCGUAAAGAUCUUAAACUGCUUACGUUUAUCCUUAACCGCAUAUUUUUUAACCAUCAAUUUUUUUUCUCUCUCUUUCUCUCAAAUAUCGAUUGAAAAUGUGUAUAAAAAUGGAAAAAAGGGAUAUAUACAUA